rnacentral:rRNA from 1 species
UGGGGAAUUUUGGACAAUGGGGGAAACCCUGAUCCAGCCAUCCCGCGUGUGCGAUGAAGGCCUUCGGGUUGUAAAGCACUUUUGGCAGGAAAGAAACGUCGCGGGUUAAUACCCCGCGAAACUGACGGUACCUGCAGAAUAAGCACCGGCUAACUACGUGCCAGCAGCCGCGGUAAUACGUAGGGUGCAAGCGUUAAUCGGAAUUACUGGGCGUAAAGCGUGCGCAGGCGGUUCGGAAAGAAAGAUGUGAAAUCCCAGAGCUUAACUUUGGAACUGCAUUUUUAACUACCGGGCUAGAGUGUGUCAGAGGGAGGUGGAAUUCCGCGUGUAGCAGUGAAAUGCGUAGAUAUGCGGAGGAACACCGAUGGCGAAGGCAGCCUCCUGGGAUAACACUGACGCUCAUGCACGAAAGCGUGGGGAGCAAGCAGGAUUAGAUACCCUGGUAGUCCACGCCCUAAACGAUGUCAACUAGCUGUUGGGGCCUUCGGGCCUUGGUAGGCGCAGCUAACGCGUGAAGUUGACCGCCUGGGGAGUACGGUC